rnacentral:rRNA from 1 species
AACGAACGCUGGCGGCGUGUUUAAGACAUGCAAGUCGCACGGGAUAAGACAUGUAGUAAUACUUGUUUUAUUCAGUGGCGCACGGGUGAGUAACACGUGAAUUACAUGCCCUAUAGUGGGGAAUAGCCCAGGGAAACUUGGAUUAAUACCCCAUGGUAUCGAAAGAUUAAAGGUAGCCGCAAGGCUGUCGCUAUAGGAUUGGUUCGCGCCCUAUCAGCUUGUUGGUGAGGUAACGGCUCACCAAGGCAAUGACGGGUACCUGGUCUGAGAGGACGAUCAGGCACACUGGAACUGAGACACGGUCCAGACAACUACGGGUGGCAGCAGUCGAGAAUAAUUCACAAGGGGGGCAACCCUGAUGGUGCAACGCCGCGUGGAGGAUGACGGUCUUCGGAUUGUAAACUCCUGUCAUCUGGGAGAAAGACUUGACGGUAAAUAGCCGGCAGGGUUGAUAGUACCAGGAGAGGAAGGGACGGCUAACUUCGUGCCAGCCGCCGCGGUAA